GAGGUUAUCAUGUUAGAUGGUGGUUAGUUUCAGGAGGUUAUCAUGUUAGAUAGUGGUUAGUUUCAGGAGGUUAUCAUGUUAGAUGGUGGUUAGUUUCAGGAGGUUAUCUUGUUAGAUGGUGGUUAGUUUCAGGAGGUUAUCAUGUUAGGUGGUGGUUAGUUUCAGGAGGUUAUCAUGUUAGAUAGUGGUUAGUUUCAGGAGGUUAUCAUGUUAGAUGGUGGUUAGUUUCAGGAGGUUAUCAUAUUAGAUGGUGGUUAGUUUCAGGAGGUUAUCAUGUUAGAUAGUGGUUAGUUUCAGGAGGUUAUCAUGUUAGAUGGUGGGGUGGUUAGUUUCAGGAGGUUAGAUGGUGGGGUGGUUCUAAGUAGGGAUUGAUGGAAGUGUUGGUUACUGCUACACAGUUUUUGUGCUGAUGAAGAGGUCCCAUGUGACGCUCUG
ensembl:lncRNA